rnacentral:sRNA from 1 species
AACGGAGAAGAAAAAGAAGAAAAGAA